rnacentral:rRNA from 1 species
UACAGAGGGUGCGAGCGUUAAUCGGAAUUACUGGGCGUAAAGCGUGCGUAGGCGGAAUGUUAAGCUAGAUGUGAAAUCCCCGGGCUCAACCUGGGAAUUGCAUUUAGAACUGGCGUUCUAGAGUAUUGGAGGGGAGAGUGGAAUUUCCGGUGUAGCGGUGAAAUGCGUAGAUAUCGGAAGGAACACCAGUGGCGAAGGCGACUCUCUGGCCAAAUACUGACGCUGAGGUACGAAAGCGUGGGUAGCGAACAGG